GUUUACCUUAUGGGUGGGAGGAAGCUUACACAGCAGACGGAAUCAAGUACUUCAUCAAUCACGUAACACAGACUACAUCCUGGAUCCAUCCUGUGAUGAGUGUCCUGAACCUGUCUUGCUCAGAGGAACACGAUGACGAUUGCUCUAGAGAACCUCCCGACCAGAAAAGUUGAUGGUUUUCUGUAGGAAGCGGAGCUCCGUGAUCUUCUGGCAUCUCAGUCUACAUAGAUGACAUGAGCAGAAACACACAACACACAACUCUGAGACACAGUGGUCCAAACUAGGAAUAAAGCACGUACAACAUGAAGCAUAAAAUACGGACUCUAGAUUCAGGCUACGUUUAUAAAACUUUUUGAUAUUACUGUAUGCAUUUAAAAGAUCAAUUGCCCCUACAGUAGUUCUUUAAAAGUAAUCUAGUCAUAUUUUUUGAAAUCACAUAUAAUUAGAUUUUAUAAUAUGUGUACUUCUUUCAUAUAUAAUUAUAUCUUUGUAAUUUUAUAUGUAGUUCUUUGUAGAGUAUCAGAUAUGAUGGUUUUUAUGAUUAAGACUGAUACUGAAAAAUAUGUGAACCUAGUGACACACUUCAUUUAUUUGAUAAAUCACUAACCUUUUAUAUUUGUAUCUUAGGAAAGUAAUCUUAGCAAGCUUUUGGGAGUUAAGGAUCUCAUUUAGACUUCCUCAUAGGCAACUGAAUACAGCUUACAUCUUUAUGGGGCUUUCUAAUUUACAAAAUGCUUUUCAGAACUUGUUUUAUUUAAAUCAUACAACAUGCCUGUGAGGCUGAUCUAGUGGGUAUUUUUAUUCUUGUUUUUCAGUUAGGAAAAUAGUGUCUCAGGGAGAUGAAACACCCUGUUCCAGGGCUGAGACCCACACCUAAGUCUCCUGAUUCUGUGUCCAGUCCCCUUUCCCUGCACCCUGCUGUCCCUGCAGGGGGAGGCCACAACCCAUCAUGCAGGGCACCAUGGUUCUGUUGAUGCAGCUGGCUCUGCAGCUGUGCAUUCCACAGAGAUUCAGGAGGCACCUCUUCAGUCAACCACGGCCCCUCCAUAACCCCAUAUUCUGCUCCUAUAAACCCUUCCCCCAUCUUCACCCCCACACUCUUCACCAGGUAGGGCCACUGUUUGUGAUGUUUUCUGAACAAGCUUCUUUCAGCAGCUCCUAUUUUUCGAGAGUAAAGGGACUGGCUCCCAUCAGUGGUUUGCCCUGCUCAGGUUGCCCUUGACAGAGGCAGAGUUAGAGGGGAGUUAAUGAAUCCAGAAUCUCCUCUCCUAUGAAGUCCAGGUUGGCCUUGCUGUUGCUGAUACCACCCCCUACACUGAUCAUACUUUAGAUCAUACUUUUUCAUUUUGAAAGGAUGCUACUAGACACUUUCUUCAGGGAAUGAGCCAUUGACUUGGAGUGCUAAAGACUUUCUCUCAGUGUAACGAUUUACACCGGGGGCUGGCAAAUGGGGAAUGGAAUGGGGAGGAUGUCACUUGGUGUGAGAUGCCAACCGAAUAAUAAAAAGGGUGUUCUUACCCAA